AUGGACGAUUUGCCGCACUGCACCUGCGAGAAGACUCAGUGCCUCCAGCGCUACUGCCAUUGCUUCGAGGCCUGGGUGUUCUGCGACGAGGGGUGCUCCUGCCAGGGCUGCCGCAACACAGAGGACAACUCCGACGAGGUAGAUGAGCGCGCAGAGUGCAUCAUGAAGAAGAAACCCGACGCCUUCAAGCCCAAGAUCAUCGCCGGCGAUGGGCCUGGGCUGCAACAGCAGCAGCAGCAAGCAGCAGGGGUGCACGUCAAGGGAUGCAACUGCCACAAUUCUGAAUGCAAGAAGCUCUACUGCGAGUGCUUCAAGCAUGGCGUCGGGUGCAGCGACAAGUGCCAGUGCACAGGGUGCGGCAACACCUUCGGAGUGAAAGGCGCGGCUCAACAAGCACAUAGUGACAGUCCUGAAGGAACAUCUGGCGGCUCCGGUGAAACACUUGCCCGUUCGAAUGGAUCGUCCGCAAUCAUCAACGACGACAUGGCUUCUCAGUUGACAGAAACAAGCAUCAUGGAUGAUAUCCACAUCCCAGCGAAUUGA
rnacentral:rRNA from 1 species